rnacentral:rRNA from 1 species
UUAAGCGACUAAGCGUACACGGUGGAUGCCCUGGCAGUCAGAGGCGAUGAAGGACGUGCUAAUCUGCGAAAAGCGCCGGCGAGGUGAUAUGAACCCUUGACCCGGCGAUGUCCGAAUGGGGAAACCCAGUGCAAUCCGUUGCACUAUCGUUAACUGAAUACAUAGGUUAACGAGGCGAACCGGGGGAACUGAAACAUCUAAGUACCCCGAGGAAAAGAAAUCAACCGAGAUUCCCCCAGUAGCGGCGAGCGAACGGGGAGCAGCCCAGAGUCUGAAUCAGCUUGUGUGUUAGUGGAAGCGUCUGGAAAGUCGCACGGUACAGGGUGAAAGUCCCGUACACGAAAAUGCACAGGCUGUGAACUCGAAGAGUAGGGCGGGACACGUGGUAUCCUGUCUGAAUAUGGGGGGACCAUCCUCCAAGGCUAAAUACUCCUGACUGACCGAUAGUGAACCAGUACCGUGAGGGAAAGGCGAAAAGAACCCCGGCGAGGGGAGUGAAAAAGAACCUGAAACCGUGUACGUACAAGCAGUGGGAGCACCUUCGGGUGUGACUGCGUACCUUUUGUAUAAUGGGUCAGCGACUUAUAUUCUGUAGCAAGGUUAACCGUAUAGGGGAGCCGAAGGGAAACCGAGUCUUAACUGGGCGUUAAGUUGCAGGGUAUAGACCCGAAACCCGGUGAUCUAGCCAUGGGCAGGUUGAAGGUUGGGUAACACUAACUGGAGGACCGAACCGACUAAUGUUGAAAAAUUAGCGGAUGACCUGUGGCUGGGGGUGAAAGGCCAAUCAAACCGGGAGAUAGCUGGUUCUCCCCGAAAGCUAUUUAGGUAGCGCCUCGUGAACUCAUCUUCGGGGGUAGAGCACUGUUUCGGCUAGGGGGCCAUCCCGGCUUACCAACCCGAUGCAAACUACGAAUACCGAAGAAUGUUAUCACGGGAGACACACGGCGGGUGCUAACGUCCGUCGUGAAGAGGGAAACAACCCAGACCGCCAGCUAAGGUCCCAAAGUCAUGGUUAAGUGGGAAACGAUGUGGGAAGGCCCAGACAGCCAGGAUGUUGGCUUAGAAGCAGCCAUCAUUUAAAGAAAGCGUAAUAGCUCACUGGUCGAGUCGGCCUGCGCGGAAGAUGUAACGGGGCUAAACCAUGCACCGAAGCUGCGGCAGCGACGCUUAUGCGUUGUUGGGUAGGGGAGCGUUCUGUAAGCCGUUGAAGGUGGCCUGUGAGGGUUGCUGGAGGUAUCAGAAGUGCGAAUGCUGACAUAAGUAACGAUAAAGCGGGUGAAAAGCCCGCUCGCCGGAAGACCAAGGGUUCCUGUCCAACGUUAAUCGGGGCAGGGUGAGUCGACCCCUAAGGCGAGGCCGAAAGGCGUAGUCGAUGGGAAACAGGUUAAUAUUCCUGUACUUGGUGUUACUGCGAAGGGGGGACGGAGAAGGCUAUGUUAGCCGGGCGACGGUUGUCCCGGUUUAAGCAUGUAGGCGGAGGUUCCAGGUAAAUCCGGUACCUUUUAACGCUGAGGUGUGAUGACGAGGCACUACGGUGCUGAAGUAACAAAUGCCCUGCUUCCAGGAAAAGCCUCUAAGCAUCAGGUAACACGAAAUCGUACCCCAAACCGACACAGGUGGUCAGGUAGAGAAUACCAAGGCGCUUGAGAGAACUCGGGUGAAGGAACUAGGCAAAAUGGUGCCGUAACUUCGGGAGAAGGCACGCUGAUAUGUAGGUGAAGCCCCUGCGGGUGGAGCUGAAAUCAGUCGAAGAUACCAGCUGGCUGCAACUGUUUAUUAAAAACACAGCACUGUGCAAACACGAAAGUGGACGUAUACGGUGUGACGCCUGCCCGGUGCCGGAAGGUUAAUUGAUGGGGUUAGCGGCAACGCGAAGCUCUUGAUCGAAGCCCCGGUAAACGGCGGCCGUAACUAUAACGGUCCUAAGGUAGCGAAAUUCCUUGUCGGGUAAGUUCCGACCUGCACGAAUGGCGUAAUGAUGGCCAGGCUGUCUCCACCCGAGACUCAGUGAAAUUGAACUCGCUGUGAAGAUGCAGUGUACCCGCGGCAAGACGGAAAGACCCCGUGAACCUUUACUAUAGCUUGACACUGAACACUGGUCCUUGAUGUGUAGGAUAGGUGGGAGGCUUUGAAGCGUGGACGCCAGUCUGCGUGGAGCCGUCCUUGAAAUACCACCCUUUAAUGGCUGGUGUUCUAACGUAGACCCGUAAUCCGGGUUGCGGACAGUGUCUGGUGGGUAGUUUGACUGGGGCGGUCUCCUCCCAAAGAGUAACGGAGGAGCACGAAGGUUAGCUAAUCCUGGUCGGACAUCAGGAGGUUAGUGCAAUGGCAUAAGCUAGCUUGACUGCGAGAGUGACGGCUCGAGCAGGUGCGAAAGCAGGUCAUAGUGAUCCGGUGGUUCUGAAUGGAAGGGCCAUCGCUCAACGGAUAAAAGGUACUCCGGGGAUAACAGGCUGAUACCGCCCAAGAGUUCAUAUCGACGGCGGUGUUUGGCACCUCGAUGUCGGCUCAUCACAUCCUGGGGCUGAAGUAGGUCCCAAGGGUAUGGCUGUUCGCCAUUUAAAGUGGUACGCGAGCUGGGUUUAGAACGUCGUGAGACAGUUCGGUCCCUAUCUGCCGUGGGCGCUGGAGAAUUGAGGGGGGCUGCUCCUAGUACGAGAGGACCGGAGUGGACGCAUCACUGGUGUUCGGGUUGUCAUGCCAAUGGCACUGCCCGGUAGCUAAAUGCGGAAGAGAUAAGUGCUGAAAGCAUCUAAGCACGAAACUUGCCCCGAGAUGAGUUCUCCCUGAGACUUAAAGUCUCCUGAAGGAACGUUGAAGACGACGACGUUGAUAGGUCGGGUGUGUAAGCGCAGC